CCUACGGGUGGCAGCAGUGGGGAAUAUUGCACAAUGGGGGAAACCCUGAUGCAGCAACGCCGCGUGAGUGACGAAGUAUUUCGGUAUGUAAAGCUCUAUCAACAGGGAAGAAAAUGACGGUACCUGACUAAGAAUCCCCGGCUAACUACGUGCCAGCAGCCGCGGUAAUACGGAGGGGGCAAGCGUUCUCCGGAGUGACUGGGUGUAAAGGGAUCGCAGACGGCAGUGCAAGUCUGGAGUGAAAGCCCGGGGCCCAACCCCGGAACUGCUGUGGAAACUGUGCGGCUAGAGUACCGGAGGGGCAGGCAGAAUUCCUAGUGUAGCGGUGAAAUGCGUAGAUAUUAGGAGGAACACCAGUGGCGAAGGCGGCAAGCUGGACAGUAACUGACGUUGAGGCUCGAAAGCGUGGGGAGCAAACAGGAUUAGAUACCCUAGUAGUC
rnacentral:rRNA from 1 species